GGGCCAGUGGCGCAAUGGAUAAACGCGUCUGACUACGGAUCAGAAGUUCUAGGUUCGAUUCCCUGGCCUG
rnacentral:tRNA from 1 species